rnacentral:rRNA from 1 species
CAGCCGCCACGGUAAUACGUAGGGUGCGAGCGUUAAUCGGAAUUACUGGGCGCAAAGCGUGCGCAGGCGGUUUUGUAAGACAGGCGUGAAAUCCCCGGGCUCAACCUGGGAAUGGCGCUUGUGACUGCAAAGCUAGAGUGCGGCAGAGGGGGAUGGAAUUCCGCGUGUAGCAGUGAAAGGCGUAGGUAUGCGGAGGAACACCGAUGGCGAAGGCAAUCCCCUGGGCCUGCACUGACGCUCAUGCACGAAAGCGUGGGGAGCAAAUGGGAUUAGAUACCCCCGUAGUCCCUGUCUCUUAUAA